GUGUCAGCCGCCGCGGUAAGACGAAGGUGGCAAGCGUUGUUCGGAUUCACUGGGCAUAAAGGGCGCGUAGGCGGUUCGGUAAGCGGCGUGUGAAAGCCCCUGGCUCAACCAGGGAAGUGCACGCCGGACUGCCGUUCUAGAGGGUGGUAGGGGGGACUGGAACUCUCGGUGGAGCGGUGAAAUGCGUAGAUAUCGAGAGGAACACCGGUGGCGAAGGCGAGUCCCUGGUCCACUUCUGACGCUGAGGCGCGAAAGCGUGGGUAGCAAACAGGAUUAGAUACCCUGGUAGUCCACGCCGUAAACGAUGAGCACUAGGUAGCGGCCGGAUCCGACCGGUCGCUGCUGACGGAAAUCCAUUAAGUGCUCCGCCUGGGGAGUAUGGUCGCAAGGCUGAA
rnacentral:rRNA from 1 species